UGAGCUGCCACAUGUGGCAGGCAGUGUUUACACACAAAACAUUCGGAAAACCCAAAAAAUAAACCAAAAUUCACUUAAAAUAAUGCCAGGCAAGCAGGUCAGCUUCAAAGAGAAGAACCUCCAAGGGGAGAGUCCAAGUGGACCGGCAGAGAGUGUGGCAGGCCCAUGCCCGGGCCCGGGCCCUGCAGGAAGGCCUGCACCAAAAGUGCCGGCCCAGCCGCAGGACGGGAGAGAUGGGCCUGUCCUCAAGCGACGUCUUUGAACACCAGCAGGGAGCAGGCACCGAGGACUUGGAGCACGCGCCGCCACCCCAAGGACCCUGCCGCAAAAGGCUUAGGAAACUGUCACUUGAUCGCUGACCCGUGUCAAGCCUCGGCGGCCACACUUUUGGCGUGUGGCACGUGUGGCAGUGUGCACCUGAGCCUUUUUGCAGCUAAUUGAAUUACAAUUUUUGACUGCCCUUCAGGCUUCGCCCCCACAACCGCCACAACCCCCACGCAGAUUCAUUCCGUAGGAAGAUCCUGGCACGUAUGCGACAGGAAGGAGCUCCCCUUCCCCCAGUCGGAGUCUGUGACAACACACACAAGCCGAAAAAGAAACCAUGAAUCUCCCGAAGCAAAUAAACAAAUUACAACAGAC